GACGAACGCUGGCGGCGUGCUUAACACAUGCAAGUCGAACGGGAUUUAGUAAACAGAAGCCUCGGUGGAAGAUUACUAAUGAGAGUGGCGAACGGGUGAGUCACGCGUGAGCAACCUGCCUAUGACAGUGGGAUAGCCUCGGGACACCGGGAUUAAUCCCGCAUAAAAUCGUAGAAACACAUGUUUAACGGUCAAAGAUUUAUCGGUCAUAGAUGGGCUCGCGUCUGAUUAGCUAGUUGGUGAGAUAACAGCCCACCAAGGCGACGAUCAGUAGCCGGUCUGAGAGGAUGAACGGCCACAUUGGAACUGAGACACGGUCCAAACUCCUACGGGAGGCAGCAGUGGGGAAUAUUGCACAAUGGGGGAAACCCUGAUGCAGCGACGCCGCGUGAACGAAGAAGGUAUUCGUAUCGUAAAGUUCUGUCCUAUGGGAAGAUAAUGACAGUACCAUAGAAGAAAGCUCCGGCUAAAUACGUG
rnacentral:rRNA from 1 species